GAGUAAUAUAUAGUUAAUGUACCUCGAAGACCGGGAUAGCCAUUGGAAACGAUGAUUAAUACUGAAUACUCCUUCUCUACAUAAGUAGAGUCGGUAAAUGUUUUUCGCUUUGAGAUCAGACUAUAUCCCAUCAGUUAGUUGGUAGUGUAAGAGACUACCAAGGCAAUCACGGGUAGCGGGUUUGAGAGGAUGAUCCGCCACACUGGUACUGAGACACGGACCAGACUCCUACGGGAGGCAGCAGUGAGGAAUAUUGCACAAUGGAGGAAACUCUGAUGCAGCAACGCCGCGUGGAGGAUGACGCAUUUCGGUGUGUAAACUCCUUUUACGAGUCAAGAAAAUGACGGUAGCUCGUGAAUAAGCACCGGCUAACUCCGUGCCAGCAGCCGCGGUAAUACGGAGGGUGCAAGCGUUACUCGGAAUCACUGGGCGUAAAGGACGCGUAGGCGGGUUGGAAAGUCUGAUGUGAAAUCCUACAGCUUAACUGUAGAACUGCAUUGGAAACUUCUAAUCUAGAGUAUGGGAGGGGGAGAUGGAAUUAGUGGUGUAGGGGUAAAAUCCGUAGAUAUCACUAGGAAUACCGAAAGCGAAGGCGAUCUCCUGGAACAUAACUGACGCUAAGGCGUGAAAGCGUGGGGAGCAAACGGGAUUAGAUACCCCGGUAGUCCACGCCCUAAACGAUGAACACUAGUCGUCGGGAUGCUAGUCAUCUCGGUGAUGCACUUAACAGAUUAAGUGUUCCGCCUGGGGAGUACGGUCGCAAGAUUAAAACUCAAAGGAAUAGACGGGGACCCGCACAAGUGGUGGAGCAUGUGGUUUAAUUCGAAGAUACGCGAAGAACCUUACCUAGCCUUGACAUUGAUAGAACGGACCAGAGAUGGACCGGUGCCCUUCGGGGAACUUGAAAACAGGUGCUGCACGGCUGUCGUCAGCUCGUGUCGUGAGAUGUUGGGUUAAGUCCCGCAACGAGCGCAACCCUCGUCCUUAGUUGCCAGCAGGUUAAGCUGGGCACUCUAAGGAGACUGCCUUCGUAAGGAGGAGGAAGGUGAGGACGACGUCAAGUCAUCAUGGCCCUUACGGCUAGGGCUACACACGUGCUACAAUGGGGCGUACAGAGUGUUGCGAUGCCGCGAGGUGGAGCUAAUCACUUAAAGCGUCUCUCAGUUCGGAUUGGAGUCUGCAACUGGACUCCAUGAA
rnacentral:rRNA from 1 species